rnacentral:rRNA from 1 species
GAUGAACGCUGGCGGCGUGCCUAAUACAUGCAAGUCGAGCGAACAGACGAGGAGCUUGCUCCUCUGACGUUACCGGCGGACGGGUGAGUAACACGUGGAUAACCUACCUAUAAGACUGGGAUAACUUCGGGAAACCGGAGCUAAUACCGGAUAAUAUAUUGAACCGCAUGGUUCAAUAGUGAAAGACGGUUUUGCUGUCACUUAUAGAUGGAUCCGCGCCGCAUUAGCUAGUUGGUAAGGUAACGGCUUACCAAGGCAACGAUGCGUAGCCGACCUGAGAGGGUGAUCGGCCACACUGGAACUGAGACACGGUCCAGACUCCUACGGGAGGCAGCAGUAGGGAAUCUUCCGCAAUGGGCGAAAGCCUGACGGAGCAACGCCGCGUGAGUGAUGAAGGUCUUCGGAUCGUAAAACUCUGUUAUUAGGGAAGAACAAAUGUGUAAGUAACUAUGCACGUCUUGACGGUACCUAAUCAGAAAGCCACGGCUAACUACGUG